UAGAGUUUGAUCCUGGCUCAGGACGAACGCUGGCGGCGCGCUUAAUACAUGCAAGUCGAGCGAGAACCAGGGCUUCGGCCCUGGGGACAGCGGCGAACGGGUGAGUAACACGUGGGUAAUCAACCCCCGACACCGGGAUAGCCCGGGGAAACCCGGAUUAAUACCGGAUGCUCCGUCUGGCUUUCGGGCCGGCCGGAAAAGGGUAGCUUCGGCCUCCGGUCGGGGACGAGCCCGCGGCGGAUUAGCUUGUUGGUGAGGUAAAGGCUCACCAAGGCGACGAUCCGUAGCUGGUCUGAGAGGACGAUCAGCCACACUGGGACUGAGACACGGCCCAGACUCCUACGGGAGGCAGCAGUAGGGAAUCUUGCGCAAUGGGCGAAAGCCUGACGCAGCGACGCCGCGUGAGGGAAGAAGGCCUUCGGGUUGUAAACCUCUUUCAGGAGGGACGAAGCCACUCAGGUUAAUAGCCGAGAGGGUGACGGUACCUCCAGAAGAAGCCCCGGCUAACUACGUGCCAGCAGCCGCGGUAAUGCCCAAUCGCC
rnacentral:rRNA from 1 species